GACGAACGCUGGCGGCGUGCCUAAUACAUGCAAGUUGAGCGCUGAAGGUUGGUACUUGUACCAACUGGAUGAGCAGCGGACGGGUGAGUAACGCGUGGGGAAUCUGCCUUUGAGCGGGGGACAACAUUUGGAAACGAAUGCUAAUACCGCAUAAAAACUUUAAACACAAGUUUUAAGUUUGAAAGAUGCAAUUGCAUCACUCAAAGAUGAUCCCGCGUUGUAUUAGCUAGUUGGUGAGGUAAAGGCUCACCAAGGCGAGGAUACAUAGGCGACCUGAGAGGGGGAUCGGCCACAUUGGGAAUGAGACACGGCCCAAAACCCUACGGGAGGGAGCAGUAGGGAAUCUUAGGCAAUGGAAGAAAGUCUGAACGAGCAACGCCGCGUGAGUGAAGAAGGGUGUCGGAUCGUAAAAAUCUGUUGGUAGAGAAGAACGUUGGUGAGAGUGGAAAGCUCAUCAAGUGACGGUAACUACACAGAAAGGGACGGCUAACUACGUG
rnacentral:rRNA from 1 species